GAUGAACGCUGGCGGCGUGCCUAAUACAUGCAAGUCGAGCGGACAGACGAGGAGCUUGCUCCUUUGACGUUAGCGGCGGACGGGUGAGUAACACGUAGGUAACCUACCUAUAAGACUGGGAUAACUUCGGGAAACCGGAGCUAAUACCGGAUAAUAUUUCGAACCGCAUGGUUCGAUAGUGAAAGAUGGCUUUGCUAUCACUUAUAGAUGGACCUGCGCCGUAUUAGCUAGUUGGUAAGGUAACGGCUUACCAAGGCAACGAUACGUAGCCGACCUGAGAGUGUGAUCGGCCACACUGGAACUGAGACACGGUCCAGACUCCUACGGGAGGCAGCAGUAGGGAAUCUUCCGCAAUGGGCGAAAGCCUGACGGAGCAACGCCGCGUGAGUGAUGAAGGUCUUCGGAUCGUAAAACUCUGUUAUUAGGGAAGAACAAACGUGUAAGUAACUGUGCACGUCUUGACGGUACCUAAUCAGAAAGCCACGGCUAACUACGUG
rnacentral:rRNA from 1 species